rnacentral:rRNA from 1 species
GAUGAACGCUGGCGGCGCGCCUAACACAUGCAAGUCGAACGGCACCCACCUCCGGGUGGAAGCGAGUGGCGAACGGCUGAGUAACACGUGGAGAACCUGCCCCCUCCCCCGGGAUAGCCGCCCGAAAGGACGGGUAAUACCGGAUACCCCGGGGUGCCGCAUGGCACCCCGGCUAAAGCCCCGACGGGAGGGGAUGGCUCCGCGGCCCAUCAGGUAGACGGCGGGGUGACGGCCCACCGUGCCGACAACGGGUAGCCGGGUUGAGAGACCGACCGGCCAGAUUGGGACUGAGACACGGCCCAGACUCCUACGGGAGGCAGCAGUGGGGAAUCUUGCGCAAUGGGGGGAACCCGGACGCAGCGACGCCGCGUGCGGGACGGAGGCCUUCGGGUCGUAAACCGCUUUCCGCAGGGAAGAGUCAAGACUGUACCUGCAGAAGAAGCCCCGGCUAACUACGUGCCAGCCGCCGCCGUAA